CUUGCUUUGUCUUUGCCUCUGCGGGGCCCUGACGCGCUAAAAUUUUCCCCGAGUCUCCCUUGCCCAGGUAGGAAUGGGAAAAGCAGAAAAACCCGUGCAGAAGCCAGAGUUCAUUAGCACCACUGCCCUGCAGCUCAACCUCUCCUCCUCCUCCUCUCCUGGGCACCUGUAAUUCCACCUUGGUAUCCACCGCAUCCCGACAUCCUCGACGCUUUCGGUGCUGCCGGGCAUUUCCAGCAACAAGGCUUUGGACUGUGACCACGAGCAAGAUGAAAAGCAGAAUGUGGGAAGACAGGGCCGGAAAUUACUAAUUGCCCUCCAGUUAAAGGACUCAGCAGGAAUGGGCCCAGCGAUGGAUAAAUGGCUAUUCUUGAGUGAUUAUAGCUCUGGAUGCUGAACACAAAGUUCCUGCUGAAAGUUUCAUCAAAACCUUCCCGUGAAACCUGUUUGUUUUGAAAUACUGGCAUUUUGUGAUGAAUAACAAUGUCACUGGAAAAAGUCCUGUUGGAAUAUUUGCAGUGGAGUCCCCUGAGCCUGUGUAUUAAUCCAGUCUCCUACACUAGGAUUUGGAUGGAUGUCAUAGAAUCUAUAGGAUGGGUGAGGUUGGAAAGGGCCACUGGAGGUCAUCUAGCCCAGCCUCUCUGCAGGAUCCACUCAGGAUUGUGCCUGACAACUUCUGAGUAUCUCCAGAGAAGGAAACUCCACAACCUCACUGGGGGACCUGUUCCCAGAUGCCUCCCAUCCCUGCAGGACCUCCUUAGGAUGGUGACAACUCACAGUGACAACCCUUUCUGCU